GGCAGAUUCAGAUGACAGCACAGUCUGAAAAAUGACAGAUAUAUAUUGAGUGCAGACACACUUCUGUAUCUGGAGCGAAACAUUUCUCCUACUCUGGGAAGUGAGUCAGCUAUAUGGCAGAUGUGCCUCCGGUUAAAGAAUUGUUGAAGGUGCCACAUGUAGCAACACACUUGCAAAGCACCCAGUGGAUUCCUUAGCAACACACCAUCAGGAGAAUGAAUGUGUCACUAUGCAAUUCACAGGCGAAGCAAAGAUUGAUGCUCUUUGAACUGUAGAACUGGAAUUAACAUUAAUGUGAAAAUGGAAAACUAUUCUAUUACUUUACUAAGUUUACACUUACACAGUAUUUUAAUAAACCAUAACAGUUAGUUAAUGCUAAAUUAUUCAUCAACUUUAAUUACGUAUCCUAUAAUGUUUUGAGUAAAAAUAAAUUGAACAUACCGAUUUUAGCAUACACGGUAUAAUUUUGUAUUAUCAACAUAAAAAAUGAAAUGACAAAUCAGGGUAGCAAAUGAUUUUGUUAACAGGAAAGAUAUAAAUAAAAAGUAGAAGAACCCAGAAUUCAACGUCGAGGCACCCCAGUGUUAGAAACUGCAUAAAGCUAAAAGAAACCAAAAGAUCAGAUCAUUCCAGAACUAUUUCCAGAACCUCAAGGACUUUCUGAACAACCUGGAAAGACAGGACUUAAAAAAGUAAAAGCAUUGAACUGGAAAAGAUACUCAUAAAUGGAACGGUAUUGAGUGGCUCAUAUAAAGUGGAGGGUGAGAAGUGGCCGAGCUCCAGCUGAAGGUUUCUGAGGGCAGAACUGAUUGAAUCCGUGGACAAUUGGAAUUGCUUCUUCAAAACGUAAUAAGAAACCUCUUGAAAGAGUUGCUAAGGUGCGCGUGUGCCAUCCUUGGUAGUGCUGAUCACCAGACUUCAAUCCAAACACUUCUUUGAUGUUCCAAGACGGCGUUGGACCCUGCUUUGAAAUGAGCAGAACAAACGAGCUGAGUCAGAUGAGUGCUGCCUCUGUGGAUCUCAAAGGCUGCUGAGGAAAUCCAGAACAGGUGAUGUCAUUUAACGAGUGACAACCCGCCUGCAGGGAGUAUGUGUCUCGGAAUCAUCUAUCACCUAUUGUUCAGCAGUGAGUCUGCGCAGCUUCCUCGGGCUGCUGGAAGGAGCAGACAGCCAGAGCAGAUGUAGCCAGCCACUCAUUAUCCCUCGAUUACGAGCCCGAGCCACAUUGCUGGGGGUAGAG
ensembl:lncRNA